GAAAUGCGAUAAGUAGUGUGAAUUGCAGAAUUCAGUGAAUCAUCGAAUCUUUGAACGCACAUUGCGCCCCUUGGUAUUCCAUGGGGCAUGCCUGUUCGAGCGUCAUUUGUACCCUCAAGGUCUGCUUGGUGUUGGGUGUUUGUCCCGUCUCCGCGCGUGGACUCGCCCCAAAGUGAUUGGCAGCCGGCGUACUGGUCCCGGAGCGCAGCACAUGUCGCGCAAACGAGUGCCUUGGUACGGCGGCGUCCAUAAGCCCCUCUCUCACGCUCUUGACCUCGGAUCAGGUAGGGAUACCCGCUGAACUUAAGC
rnacentral:misc_RNA from 1 species